rfam:Anaeromyxobacter sp. Fw109-5, complete genome.
GCGGGAAUAGCUCAGUUGGUAGAGCAUCAGCUUCCCAAGCUGAGGGUCGCCGGUUCGAACCCGGUUUCCCGCU